CCGGGGAGCACCGACCGGAUGAUCACAGAGAUCAGAGAGCAGAAACCAGCCGCAUAGCCACAUGUGCGUAAAAUUACGUUCACCAGUUGCACUGCUGCGACCUCAGCAACCUGCGACAAACACGAACCGGGUGUAACGAAACGGAACGGAUGUGUGGAUUCCCCAAAAAUGAACACGUGAAACGAGCAGUACAACAUAUUACCAAAGGAGAUAUGCGCGCUGACCCAUUUCCAGACCGCGUGAAAGAACUUCCGAACAGGGCAGCCAUUCGGAGCAGGAAGCAAAACAGAGCAAAAGAUACAGAAACACUCCCAGCAGCAGCCGCCGCCGCCGCCGCCCGAAAAUGCCGGUGAUAAUUGCGUUCAAUUAAUCAAAAGAUCACAACCAUGAAAUUAUUAAACAGACAGACAAAACCCCGUGUGCGUGCGUGCGUGCGUGUGGGGGAGAAGAGAAGAGAGCAGAUUACAAAACGAUACACCAACCGGUACCAAACAAAUGAGGAUCAGGAAAGUUUACCGGGGCCGGACGGACGGGCGUGGGAGGAAUUCGGUGAAACAGGAAAAACAGAAAACCAGGAACAACCAGGAAGGAUCGACACUCUUUGACUUUUUUUUUUUUGGCUUUUGAUGACUUAAUACGGGUGACAGAAUAAUAUCAGAAUAAUCGGGACCAUUUUUAAAGGAAGAAAUUUUGGAUCGAACUAUGAAAUGAAGGUAAACGUUAUUGAA